CAGUCGCCGCGGUAAUACGUAGGUGGCAAGCGUUGUCCGGAAUUAUUGGGCGUAAAGGGCUCGCAGGCGGUUUCUUAAGUCUGAUGUGAAAGCCCCCGGCUCAACCGGGGAGGGUCAUUGGAAACUGGGAAACUUGAGUGCAGAAGAGGAGAGUGGAAUUCCACGUGUAGCGGUGAAAUGCGUAGAGAUGUGGAGGAACACCAGUGGCGAAGGCGACUCUCUGGUCUGUAACUGACGCUGAGGAGCGAAAGCGUGGGGAACGAACAGGAUUAGAGACCCCCGUAGUCCCUGUCUCUUAUAC
rnacentral:rRNA from 1 species